rnacentral:lncRNA from 1 species
GGGGCAAGCAGCAGAUUGGCUCUCAGCCUUUUCUCAAGAUGCCAGCAGUUAUCAAAGCAGACCCUCUGAGUUUGCUCACAGGAACAAGCUGGGUCGCACGGCUGCUGGCACACAAGAAACAAAGGACCCUUGACAUAACUUCCUCACGGAGGCACGAGCAAAGCCCUGCCAACCUGUCAGUCCAGCCAUGCAAGAGAGGGAGAGAGAGAAAAAGAAAGGAGGGAGUGAAGCAGAGAUUCAGAUCUCAGCAGAUAUUAAGUGUUUGCAGUUGA